CCAGGGCCUUCGCACUGAGCUACAUCCCCACCCCAUUUUUUGAGACAGGGUCUCUCUAAAUUGCCCAGGCUGGGCGCGUACUUUCGAUCCUCCUGCCUCAGCCUCGGGAGUGCCGGGAUUACAGGCGUGCACCAUCACGCCCUGCUCCAGUCGCUCUUUUCGCAGAAAGACAAAGUGGCUUAGUAACCCUACCUGAUCCUUAGGCCACAGCGACCACCCCUCCUAUUUGUCCUGCUGGGCAGGAAAAGCUAAAUGAACCCGGGCUCUGGGCGUUGCUUCCUCCUGCCCUGUAAGGUGGCUGAAGGGGGUUGAAGGGACUUUCUCGGGUUUUAUUUCCAUCCGUUAGUGCCGCUCCCCACCCUAAAGCCACUCAAGGCCUCAUGGCCUCAGGGUUCCCAGAGAGAGGAACUAACUCUGCAGGGCGGGCGUCCUAAGCAGAAAUCUAGGAGAGGCUCUUCUUGGAACCUGAAGCUCCGUCACCCUGGAAGCCGAAGCUCCAUCACCCUGGAAGCCGACAGAGGAUGCUGGCUCUUCCCUCGGAAACCCCAGAGGGGAGGGAGGAAAAGUUAAUGGACCUCAACUAAGCCCUGUUCACUGAGCGCUGAAAACAAACAAAAGCAGUGACUCUCAGUGCAACAAUUUAACAAUGUCGUCGUUACAGUGUAGCGCUAGAUCUGCGCAGGUCUGCAGCUUGGCUUGUCCCGGGAAAAAGGGGGCUGCCUAAAAGCCGGAAGCUGUGCUCUGCUCCAAGCGCCCACCCUCCUGAAGGUUCUGUUACUUUGGUUAAAUCAUGUCACUUCUCCAAACCAUGGUCUCCUUCUUAGCAUUUAUUGUUUUCUUCCCUCAACAAAAACGGAGAGCCACGAUGUUGCUCGCUGAAGAAAGUAAAAUGAAGAAAACCGGCUCAGCUUCGCAAGGCUCAGCCGCAUGGUGACGCUAAACGGAGAUUCCUCUGGCUCCAAGAAGUUCUGGCUCUACAUUCUCUAUGUUCAAGUCUAACCCAAAAAGAAAUGGAAGAGCUGAGAUGAUAAAGGAGAGCAGAUGAGACAGCCCAGAAAUGAGCAACAGGAGGAAAUCACUGCAAUGGCAGAGCGUGAAAGUUCAAAGGAGCCCAGAAGCCCGGGGCCAUCUGCGCUAAGAUAGGGCUAGGAGCCAGGCAGGCCAUGCGAUCUUCACCAGAGCUACAGCAUGAAGCAGAGGGAGAGGGACGCAUACCUGGCAAUUUCCUCUCUUCCAUUCUCCAAUCUUCCACCGGUGCCUUCCAUUGAAUAAUGCUGGCCAGGGCCAGCUAGCAGGGCAGCCUGUAAUAUUCAGCCUGUGGGAGGCAGGAAGCAGAGAUGGGAAGGGGCUCUGAACACAAAUAGCACUGUUAGUUAGGUUUUCGCCAUGAGCUCCAGGCUUUUGACAGCUUAGAGAAUAAACAUUGCUUUACCUCUCUUGGGAAUCUGCAGGCUAACUCAUGGAGGGCGAAGCCUCAAGGGCUUGCUGCUUUGAGCUAUGGGUUGCAUAUACCUGUCCACCUCUGUCCCUCAUCCUCAGACUCCAGGGCACGUCUUCUCCUGCAGAUGGCAGAAGUGCAAAGCAGGAAGCAGAAAUGUGAUACUGCCCCAGGCCUCCGAUCUGAAUGGCAGGAGUCACCUUCAACCCACUUUACAUUGCCCAAGGCAAGCCACACAGACUUGCUUAUUCUUGGUAUUUCUAUUACAAGGAGAGGGUGAAGAAUUUGGAAGAGUACUGUGAUACACACACACACACACUGCUUAUCUCCUAAAAAUAUUCUAAGGGAAAUAUCUUAUUUUCUUUAAAUGGGUCACAUGCCCAAUCCUAAACCAAUUACCUGACUACUGGACUAGCUAUCUCUGACUCAUAUGUCCAGCUCUGCAGCCGGAAGUCAUGUCAAUUCUAUCCAAAAUACAAGUGAGAAGCCAGGGGCCAGCCCUCUAGGGACAUUUGAGUAUUCUUACCAAAAAUAAAGGCAAUGGAUUCUAAAAAAUAACAGAUACUCACUACAGUCAUCUAGCACCCAAAUGUAUAUGUGAGAAUUUACUAUAUUAUUUUCACGAUGAGGGAAAAAAUUCCUUAUAAUUUUGUAAAAAUCAGGGGAAAAGCAAAAUUCUGCUGUAGAAUCAAAGAACAAAAUUGGUUUCAAAUUUCCAACAACAAAGGAAAAAGACAAAACUCCAAAACCAGUUACUCAUAUCUAGUAUUUGGAUUCAUUAAUAAAAGCGAUGGUCCACAGUGUUUGUAUGAAGCAAAACACCACCACCAUGAGAGAGAGAAUGGUACUGAAGCUAGAUGAUGUCAGGAGAAAGAACAAUGUAGGAGCCACAC